UAGAUUAACUGAGGAUGCGGCGGAGAGCUUCAGUGAUCCUCGAUGUUUGCAUUAAUCUUGUGGAAAUUUCGAUAUCGCUAAUUGUGAUGCAAACGAUUUGAAGAUUCUAUUCAUUAGUGCAAUAAACACACCGCCAGAUGUCUUAUAUCUCUCAGAAACUGCGAAGACUGACGUGGACUUGCAGAACUUCCUAAGCUGACACUGACGAAUCUGACAUUGAUAGACUGUUAACACAUAUCUUCAUAACCUUAAUGGUAUACAGUUGAGUCCUCCAUUCCGUUAAGUAUUCAGAUCACUGAUUGUUAUUUAAAAAUUACAAAAUCCUUGUCGGAGAGUCAGCAAUGAAGAUAGCAAGGCCGGUGUUGAACAAAUAUCAGCAAUCGCUUUCGAGUUCCGAUCGCAGUCAUGAGCUAAAAUUGAAUGCGAAUUUGAUUCGCUUCGUCGGUCGACUUCCGAUUUAAAAUAAAAUAUAUAAUGCCCUUGUCGAAGUGUUGCAACGCAUAAAAUACUGGAAUUCGAUCUGCAACCCACGAAAAUUUGCAUAAAAAGGUGAUUUACCGCUUUGUCACCUUUUUUCAAGAAAUAUUUGUCUUUUUACGGGUUUGUACGCGAUUUUGGCGGCUCAGCAAGUUCAGCGUGGCAUCGAAAGAUGCGGAAUUAAAUUCUCCGUCGGGUUGUAUUUGUUUGCGGUAGAAGUGACUUGAUUCCGGCCACCGUAUAUUUUAUUAACUAAAAUAAUAUAGGUAUUUACUUUCAAGAGUAGAUUACUAAAGAAGUAAAAUUUGAAUGUUUUUAUGCUUUUUUGUAGUUUUGGAAGAGUUUUGAUUCAAUUUUAUAGAAAAUAUGUGAUUUUAUAUAAUAUAAACUUUCAUUGACUA